rnacentral:snRNA from 1 species
GUGCUCACUUCGGCAGCACAUAUACUAAAACUGGAAUGAUACAGAGAAGAUUAGCAUGGCCCAUGCGCAAGAAUGAUACGCAAAUUUGUGAAGUGUUACAUAUUUUU